rnacentral:rRNA from 1 species
GCGUUCAGAGACUAGAUGUUUGUGGGCUGCCUAUUCCAAGGUGGCUUAAGGUAUAGUCCGUCCUAAUCCGAAAGGAUUGAGGUUUAAACGUAGAUGUUCUGGGCCGCACGCGCGCUACACUGACAAAGCCAGCGAGUUUAUAACCUUGGCCGGAAGGUCCGGGUAAUCUUGUGAAACU